UACAGAGGUGGCAAGCGUUGUUCGGAAUUACUGGGCGUAAAGCGUGCGCAGGCGGUUGUGUAAGACAGAUGUGAAAUCCCCGGGCUCAACCUGGGAACUGCAUUUGUGACUGCACGGCUGGAGUGCGGCAGAGGGGGAUGGAAUUCCGCGUGUAGCAGUGAAAUGCGUAGAUAUGCGGAGGAACACCGAUGGCGAAGGCAAUCCCCUGGGCCUGCACUGACGCUCAUGCACGAAAGCGUGGGGAGCAAACAGG
rnacentral:rRNA from 1 species